UCCCAUAUUGUCUACUGGAUAGGAUACCUGGCUCUCACCCAGGAGGCCCGGGUUCAAUUCCCGGUAUGGAAA
rnacentral:tRNA from 1 species